rnacentral:rRNA from 1 species
GACGAACGCUGGCGGCGUGCUUAACACAUGCAAGUCGAACGGAAAGGCCCUGCUUUUGUGGGGUGCUCGAGUGGCGAACGGGCGAGUAACACGUGAGUAACCUGCCCUUGACUUUGUGAUAACUUCAGGAAACUGGGGCUAAUACCGGAUAGGAGCUCCUGCUGCAUGGUGGGGGUUGGAAAGUUUCGGCGGUUGGGGAUGGACUCGCGGCUUAUCAGCUUGUUGGUGGGGUAGUGGCUUACCAAGGCUUUGACGGGUAGCCGGCCUGAGAGGGUGACCGGCCACAUUGGGACUGAGAUACGGCCCAGACUCCUACGGGAGGCAGCAGUGGGGAAUAUUGCACAAUGGGCGGAAGCCUGAUGCAGCAACGCCGCGUGCGGGAUGACGGCCUUCGGGUUGUAAACCGCUUUCGCCUGUGACGAAGCGUGAGUGACGGUAAUGGGUAAAGAAGCACCGGCUAACUACGUG